UACGUAGGGUGCGAGCGUUAAUCGGACUUACUGGGCGUAAAGCGUGCGCAGGCGGUUUUGUACGACAGGUGUGAAAUCCCCGGGCUUAACCUGGGACCUGCAUUUGUGACUGCAAGACUAGAGUGUGGCAGAGGGGGGUAGAAUUCCACGUGUAGCAGUGAAAUGCGUAGAUAUGUGGAGGAAGACCGAUGGCGAAGGCAGCCCCCUGGGUCAACACUGACGCUGAGGCACGAAAGCGUGGGGAGCAAACAGG
rnacentral:rRNA from 1 species